GACGAACGCUGGCGGCGUGCUUAACACAUGCAAGUCGAACGGAGAUUAUUAAUGAAGCUUGCGAUUUAAUAAUCUUAGUGGCGGACGGGUGAGUAACGCGUGGGCAACCUACCCAUAAGCGGGGGAUAACAGUCGGAAACGACUGCUAAUACCGCAUAAGCUAUUAAGGUCGCAUGACCUAAAUAGUAAAGGUGGCAUUUUAACAGUGCUAUCACUUAUGGAUGGGCCCGCGUCUGAUUAGCUAGUUGGUGGGGUAGCAGCCUACCAAGGCAACGAUCAGUAGCCGGCCUGAGAGGGUGGACGGCCACACUGGGACUGAGACACGGCCCAGACUCCUACGGGAGGCAGCAGUGGGGAAUAUUGCGCAAUGGGGGAAACCCUGACGCAGCGACGCCGCGUGAGCGAAGAAGGCCUUAGGGUCGUAAAGCUCUGUUGUAAGGGACGAAUGUUUGUCUGGCGAACAGUCAGAUAAAGUGACGGUACCUUACCAGCAAGCCCCGGCUAACUACG
rnacentral:rRNA from 1 species